rnacentral:rRNA from 1 species
GUUGGGAAUCUUGGACAAUGGGGGAAACCCUGAUCCAGCCAUGCCGCGUGAGUGAUGAAGGCCUUCGGGUUGUAAAACUCUUUCGACGGGGACGAUAAUGACGGUACCCGUAGAAGAAGCUCCGGCUAACUUCGUGCCAGCAGCCGCGGUAAUACGAAGGGGGCUAGCGUUGUUCGGAAUUACUGGGCGUAAAGCGCGCGCAGGCGGCUAUCCAAGUCAGUGGUGAAAGCCCGGAGCUCAACUCCGGAACUGCCAUUGAAACUGUUUAGCUUGAGGACGAGAGAGGUGAGUGGAAUUCCCAGUGUAGAGGUGAAAUUCGUAGAUAUUGGGAAGAACACCGGUGGCGAAGGCGGCUCACUGGCUCGUAUCUGACGCUCAGGCGCGAUAGCGUGGGGAUCAAACAGGAUUAGAAACCCCGGUAGUCC